GUGGGAAUGAGGCUUUUCAGUGUGCGGGGUGGAGCCUUACGGCAUGAAGUGCCCCAAACAACGUGUCCCUUUUAGUGAUUAUUAUUAAUAUUAUCAGAAUUAUUAAAGUCUAUGAAUUCCAAAUAGUUCCCAGUUAGCGAUGCUGCGUGGUUCGGUCGCAGCAGCGCUAACGUGUCGGUGGCAUGUUGGUACAGCGCAAUCUCGGCUCAUUUUCUCUGAGCAAUACAAGUUCACGGACGAGCUACCUAGCCAGCCCUCCUCUCCUGUCAUGGACCUCCCAGACUACUGCGCGCCGGCCGCCCUCUGAGAAGGCUCCUUCGCCCCGCGCGGAGGAGGAGAAGGGGAGGAAGGCGCGGUCCCAGCCGCCGCUGCCCAGCCGCCGUCCCGCAGAGCGCUGGCCGCGGGGCGCCGCGGCGGCAGCAGGCGCGCAGCCCCCUCCGCCUGCCCGCGCCCGCCCGCCCGCGGCGGCGGCGC